AGGUGUCUCCAGGACGUGACAUCUCUCCCCCGCGCCCUUACCACAGUGUUCCAGACAUGCUGACUCAUUCUCUAAAUAGAAGAUAAGCUGACCCAAAGACUAUACCCAGCCUCGCCUUUAAGGAUGGCAAAUAGUGCCCUGAUCUCCGUUGGCUGCUUGGCCAUAUUUGUCACUGUGAUCUCCCUCUUGGUGUACAAAAAACACAAAGAAUACAACCCAAUAGAAAAUAGUCCUGGGAAUGUGGUCAGAAGCAAAGGCCUGAGUGUCUUUCUCAACCGUGCAAAAGCCGUGUUCUUCCCGGGAAACCAGGAAAAGGAUCCGCUACUCAAAAACCAAGAAUUUAAAGGAGUUUCUUAAAUUUCGACCUUGUUUCUGAAGCUCACUUUUCAGUGCCAUUGAUGUGAGAUGUGCUGGAGUGGCUAUUAACCUUUUUUUCCUAAAGAUUAUUGUUAAAUAGAUAUUGUGGUUUGGGGAAGUUGAAUUUUUUAUAGGUUAAAUGUCAUUUUAGAGAUGGGGAGAGGGAUUAUACUGCAGGCAGCUUCAGCCAUGUUGUGAAACUGAUAAAAGCAACUUAGCAAGGCUUCUUUUCAUUAUUUUUUAUGUUUCACUUAUAAAGUCUUAGGUAACUAGUAGGAUAGAAACACUGUGUCCUGAGAGUAAGGAGAGAAGCUACUAUUGAUUAGAGCCUAACCCAGGUUAACUGCAAGAAGAGGCGGGAUACUUUCAGCUUUCCAUGUAACUAUAUGCAUAAAGCCAAUGUAGUCCAGUUUCUAAGAUCAUGUUCCAAGCUAACUGAAUCCCACUUCAUUACACACUCGUGAACUCGUGAUGGAACAAUAACAGGCCCAAGCCUGUGGUAUGA
rnacentral:sRNA from 1 species